CAGCCGCCGCGGGAAUACCGAGGGUGCGAGCGUUAAUCGGAUUUACUGGGCGUAAAGCGUGCGUAGGCGGCUUUUUAAGUCGGAUGUGAAAUCCCUGAGCUUAACUUAGGAAUUGCAUUCGAUACUGGGAAGCUAGAGUAUGGGAGAGGAUGGUAGAAUUCCAGGUGUAGCGGUGAAAUGCGUAGAGAUCUGGAGGAAUACCGAUGGCGAAGGCAGCCAUCUGGCCUAAUACUGACGCUGAGGUACGAAAGCAUGGGGAGCAAACAGGAUUAGAUACCCGUGUAGUCCCUGUCUCUUAUAC
rnacentral:rRNA from 1 species